ensembl:lncRNA
UCACUUCCUCCUGAGCACGAGUUACAACAGCUGCAGCUGCGGAGAAAGAGAAGCAGCUUGCCAGGCAAGGGAGUAAAUGAUGGCUGGAAAGGAGACACCUUGCAGCUGGGACAAAUAAUGUGCGUAUGCUCAAGAAACCAAGAAUCCCCACAGCAGGGCUUGCGAUCUGCACUGAAGAAUGGCUCCUUUGUCUCGCCCUCCGUCUGAGGCUAAAAGCCAUGCAGCGUGCAGCCAGAUGGCCAGGACAGACUGAGGACCGAGAGGAAAAAGGAGGAAAGCUUCUUUCCUUAAAUUUGUACUGAUCCCUGAGGCUUAGAGAACAAAAGUCCACGGAGCGCACAUCCCUCAGGGGAUGAUUUAGAGGCUGAGGUUCUGAGAGGCUUGCAAAGAAGGAUGCGGAUGUACGUACCUGAUGUGACACAUAUAGUCUUAGCUGCUAAGAUUUGUCUUACAAGAUAUGCAUGCUUUUAAAGUGCAGCUGGUGAAUGGGAUCUCCGUUCGCUUAACAGGCCACGUGCAUACCAGCAACAAAUCUGGUUGCAAAGAAAGCCCAAUAACCUUCUGGUCCCCAGAGAGCGCUUACUCAGGGAGCUUCCCAAAAUAGAAACUACAGAGCAGUGCCAGAGGGAGUGAGGCACUGUAACCAAGAAGAUGGAUGAAAAACAAGUGCUGAGCAACAGAGAGGUAUUUUGUAUUAACCCUGCCAAAUGGAUUAUUUAUACUGUAAUCUGCUGCUGCUGGUACGACUGAGCCUUUUGAAGGAAAGUUGCAGGCAGCUUCUCCUGAUUGUUCAAUGAAGCAGAUAAGCUCACACCUUAAAUCAGCUCUGCCAGCCUUUCGCUGCCUUCCCGCAUACAUGGAUUUCAGGAUAAUUCUUAAGGAAAGCAGAAGGUGGCAGUUCACAAAGAGAUGUUCUGAGUAUAGUGAGACAUCAAGACAGUCUAGACUGUAAACUGAUCUUAAGCAACAAAAUUAUAUCGAGCACUGAAAGCGCAUACCUCCAAAAAAGAUGACUGUGAUAUGAAAUGCUUUUUAGGGGGCCUCACAGCCUGGUAGGAGUGGGAAUUGCCCAAGAGCUCUUUGCUACCCGAGGGUUGUCAGUGAAAGGUGGGCAAGGGCAUACACGUACGCAGGACAGGAUGCUCCAGUUAACGAGAGCUAAGUGCCCUGAUGUGAACACGCAGAGGCUGUCAAGGAAAUAUUAGCAAUAAGACCACUACUACAGUGUUUCUUGUUACAGUCUAUUUCCGGUUGUUUUCAUACCUUUGGAGAACAGAAGAAAAGAGAAAGAAGCUGGACUCAGAAGUCACCUUGCUCACUCCCAACACAAGGUCACUUCUACCAUGAGCAGCAGCCUCUGUGACAAGCAGCACCCACAGAGCUGACAAGGCCUGCCCACGGCUGCCUCCUUUUGUAAAGGCCUUGAACCCAUCUUCUGCUAUACCUCAAGGCAGGUGUGGCUCUCCAAGUGACUCUAAAGCACCUAGUAUGGGACAAACCCCUGCCUUUCUCUCAUUUCCUCUGUUCAUGUCAUGAUGGAAGAACAGUCACCCUCAAGAAUCUCCAUAAGACACUACGCAGCUCACCAUAGCUCAUCACUGAACCAAGCCAUUCCAAUCAAACUCUAUUUAUCUAUUUAUACAUAUAGCAUCCAUGUAUGUGUGUAUAUAUGUACAGCCAUUUAUUUUACAGAAUUUUAAUGGUGGGAUCCUAGCACCUCCCACUUCUCCCUUCAAGAACCUCUAGUAUUUUGCUACGCUUACCAUUAGAACAUUUUCUUUUUCCCUAAAGUUUAAUAGAAAUCACCCUUACUGUUUUAAGAUCAUUACUUGUGCUUUCCCUGCUGGAACGAAGAAAUUAUUCCCUUCCUCCCUAGAGCAUCCUUCAAAAUAUUUUAACAAACACUGUUAUCACACCUCCUCUCAGUCUUCAUCCCUCUAGACUAAACAGUCCCAGUGCCUUCAGCUUAUAGGACAUGAUUUUUUUAAAGCUCUAUCAUUGUUUCUGUUUGCUUCUGGACUCUUUCCAGUGGUUCACAUCUUUCUUGAAAGCUCAGUGUCCGCAGAAUCACGUCUGAAACUUCACCAUGUUAAAUAAAAAAGUAGUUACUCUAAAGAUUCAAUUAUGCAGCACUCCUAACUUUACAUCUCAGUGAUAAGCAUUGCACUUGUAAACAUUUUUUCAGGUUUUCCUUGGGAAAAACACAACCGAGGAUGUUACUACCAUAGCUGGGGACUGCAGCACAGAUUCCCAAAGCAGGAAUCUGAUGGCUCUCCUCCUGUUAAAAAUUCAGCCAAGUGAAAGUCUAAGGAUGAAGAAGUACAAAUAAAGUUACUUAUACAGACACAAAUGUACUCUGGGACAGAUAUCUCACAGUUACUUCAUGAAGAAAAGCUCAAGACUAUUGAAAAACUGUCACCAUAACUCUAACAGAGAAUAAAAUAAUUCUUGAU